AUGUCUUCAGAGGCCCAGCGGGCGGGUCGACGGCCGCCUCCCUCGGCAACGGAUCAGGCCGACAGGCGCAGAUCAGAUGUUGCAGCCGCAGCAGAGGAAGAAGCCGCAGAGCGCGGCGGAGAGGACGACGGCCUCGGCGGCGUAGAGGACGUGGAAGAGCGCGUCGUCGAGGAGGGACACCACGACCCCCGCCUUCUCCUCCCACCUCCACUGGUACGCCCGCGCGCUCUGCACCUGCACCUCCACGACCUUGAACCACCCGAGCGCCAUGGCCUCCUGCUCUUCGACCUCCGGUCCGGAUGGAUGGAUGGCUCUUUCUCUGGUGGCGGAUGCGCGGUUGCCUCGAUUUAA
rnacentral:rRNA from 1 species